AGGGAAACCGAGCGACUGCAGUUCCACCUCAGGAUGAAUUGUCCGACUGAAAUGCAGGUCGCCCCGCCUUUCUAAGGUCCACUCCAAAGAUCAUCCCACCAAUGCUUAUAGAAGAAAAGAGAAGAAUCAAUUCCUUUGGUAAAAUCAAUAAUGCGCUCAAUUGAAUUCAAUGGCAUUGACUUCCAGACUCACAAUGUGAAUGAAUUGUUUCUAAAGCUCUAAUGUUGGGGAAAGAGUAGAGGGAAAGAGAAGAGGAUGACCAGCAGUAAGGUGGAUGGAGUCACAGUGCUGAUGAGCAUCCUGUUGGGAGUCAUCAAAGAACAGUGACAGGCUACAGAAAAUGAUUCAUCAUGAACUGAUAGCAUGAUCACAUCUUUUAAUUAUUAGCGUUGAUUUCAAGAUGUCUAUGGAUUCCCAGAAAUCCGCUUGUGAGUGUACAUUGGAUUGAAACAAAUGGAGCAUCAACAGGUCAUUGGGAAUAGCAAACAGAACAAGGCAGAGGAGAGAAGAAAGAGAAAACAAAAGAAAAAAGAAAAGAAAAAUGUGGCAAUAUAUAAAAAUGUAUCUUUCAAGGAACAUAAUUACAUUGUUAAACUUCAAAUAUUAUUCAGCAUUUCUACCUAAAUGUUUUUAAAAUUGAAGAUAAUCUUGUUACGAUCUAUGUGUUACAUAGCUAAAGAAUAAAGGCCAAAUUUGGAUGUGUGUGUUUAUACAAAGAAAGAGAAAGAUAUUUUGAUAUGGUGGUGUAUUUUAUAGUGUUAAAUAUUGCUGAUUCAAAUAAAGUUCAG